rnacentral:rRNA from 1 species
UACGUAGGGUGCAAGCGUUGUCCGGAAUUAUUGGGCGUAAAGAGCUCGUAGGCGGUUCGGUAAGUCAGGUGUGAAAUCUCCACGCUCAACGUGGAGGCGCCACCUGAAACUGCCGUGACUCGAGUCCGGUAGGGGAGUGUGGAAUUCCUGGUGUAGCGGUGAAAUGCGCAGAUAUCAGGAGGAACACCAGUGGCGAAGGCGGCAUCCUGGACCGACACUGACGCUGAGGAGCGAAAGCCAGGGGGGCAAACGGG